rnacentral:lncRNA from 12 species
GGGCAAUUUUAAAUCAAUCUUCGUAUAAUGCGUUCACAGAAACUGCUAGAGUAUUCAGUGUUUUGUGCUUCCACCCACCCUCCUAAUGUGAGUGCCAUGAGAAGAAAUGGAGUAGGAGUUGGGGGAAUUAACUUUAGCUGGAGUAAUCCUGGGUGGCCUUCCUGAGAAGGUGUCUGAGCUCUGAAUGUUGAGGAGACAUUUUGGGGAAGAAAGAACAGUAAGCAGGAGAAACAGGAAGUUUAAAGUCCUCAGAUGAAAACAGAUUUGGAAUGACUGAAAACUUCAAAAAGAUAAUCCAUGUUACCAAGCGUAGAGAAUGCAGUAGCAAAUGGCAGAAAAUGAAGUUGGAGCAAUGGAGGCACUAGAUCCUACUGAUGCUUGCUUCCUUUGGUUCAGGGAAAGUUCCAGAAGGUGGAAGCCAUCCCCAGAUUCCUUCCAGAUGACCUUCUGAAUUCGGGGUAUGAGUAGCAGUCAUCUGGGUGGAUCUUCACUUUCCAUUCUGUAUAUUCAUCUGGCACCUGCCUCAAAGCUGCAGAAAUGCCGCUGAAUAGCUGUCAAAAAAAAAAAAAUCAGUCUAAAGAACUGGAGAUCAUGCCCUCAUUUGUGGAGUUGAGUAUACUCGGGAAUGACACAGCCACCAUGAAGUAGGUUCAGGUGGCAACAUGGAUUAUGGAAGAGCAGAAUGUUUCUGGAACUAUUAUCUUUUUUCAUCUCUGUAUCAUUUAAAUGAAAAUACAGCUAAUGAAGAACAGAUGCUGCCCCAGAUGUGGAAAAUGCAGAUGUUUGCCAGCUUCCGGAUAACUCCAAAUUCGUAACUGCACACAGCAUUCUACAGAUCUCUCAGUUUGAUUUUUUAGGGGAAAAAAAACCCUCCCCUCCCAAAAAAUGUGUUAAGUAUUUUCUUUCAUUUUUUAUACAUGACUUGGAGAUCACGUUUGAGACAUGAAAAGCAGACCCAAUUUUAGUUCCCACAUGAAGAUAUUAAAAAUUGUUGAUUUUGUAU